rnacentral:rRNA from 1 species
UACGUAGGGCGCAAGCGUUGUCCGGAAUUACUGGGCGUAAAGCGUGCGUAGGUGGUGAGUUAAGUCUGUCGUGAAAGCCCCGGGCUCAACCUGGGAAUGGCGAUGGAUACUGGCUCGCUAGAGUGCGGUAGAGGAGAGUGGAAUUCCCGGUGUAGCAGUGAAAUGCGUAGAGAUCGGGAGGAACAUCAGUUGCGAAGGCGGCUCUCUGGACCAGCACUGACACUGAGGCACGAAAGCGUGGGGAGCAAACAGG